rnacentral:rRNA from 1 species
CACGUAGGGUGCGAGCGUUGUCCGGAAUUAUUGGGCGUAAAGAGCUCGUAGGCGGUGUGUCGCGUCGGCCGUGAAAACCUGCAGCUUAACUGUGGCGUGCGGUCGAUACGGGCAUCACUGGAGUUCGGCAGGGGAGGCUGGAAUUCCUGGUGUAGCGGUGAAAUGCGCAGAUAUCAGGAGGAACACCGGUGGCGAAGGCGGGUCUCUGGGACGGUACUGGACGCUGGAGGCGCGGAAAGCGUGGGGAGCGAACAGG